rnacentral:rRNA from 1 species
GACUACCGGGGUAUCUAAGCCCGUUUGCUCCCCUGGCUUUCGUGCCUCAGUGUCAGUAACUGCCCAGUGACCUGCCUUCGCCGUUGGUAUUCCUCUCGAUAUCUACGCAUUUCACUGCUACACCGAGAAUUCUAGUCACCUCUUCAGUACUCUAGCAUGGUAGUAUCGGAUGCAAUUCCGAGGUUGAGCCCCGGGCUUUCACAUCUGACUUUCCACGCCACCUACGCACCCUUUACGCCCAGUGAUUCCGAACAACGCUUGAGACCUCUGUAUUACCGCGGCUGCUGGCACAGAGUUAGCCGUCUCUUCCUCUUGUGUUACCAUCAAUUUGCCAUGCUAUUAACACGACAACCUUGUUCACACAUGACAGGAGUUUACAAUCCGAAGACCUUAUCCUCCACGCGGCGUCGCUCCAUCAGGGUUGCCCCCAUUGUGAAAGAUUCUCGACUGCAGCCCCCCGUAGG